UCAGUCGACUCCUACGGGAGGCAGCAGUAGGGAAUCUUAGACAAUGGGCGCAAGCCUGAUCUAGCGAUGCCGCGUGUGUGACGAAGGCCUUAGGGUCGUAAAGCACUUUCGCCAGGGAUGAUAAUGACAGUACCUGGUAAAGAAGUACCCGGCUAACUCCGUGCCAGCAGCCGCGGUAAUACGGAGGGGACUAGCGUUGUUCGGAAUUACUGGGCGUAAAGCGCGCGUAGGCGGAUUAGUUAGUCAGAGGUGAAAUCCCAGGGCUCAACCCUGGAACUGCCUUUGAUACUGCUAGUCUUGAGUUCGAGAGAGGUGAGUGGAAUUCCGAGUGUAGAGGUGAAAUUCGUAGAUAUUCGGAGGAACACCAGUGGCGAAGGCGGCUCACUGGCUCGAUACUGACGCUGAGGUGCGAAAGUGUGGGGAGCAAACAGGAUUAGAUACCCUGGUAG
rnacentral:rRNA from 1 species